rnacentral:sRNA from 1 species
GCUCGACGGGGGAGCGGCACAUCGCCCCACA